CCUACGGGCGGCAGCAGUGGGGAAUAUUGGACAAUGGGGGGAACCCUGAUCCAGCCAUGCCGCGUGUGUGAAGAAGGCCCUCGGGUUGUAAAGCACUUUCAGUGAGGAAGAACGCCUGGUGGUUAAUACCCAUCAGGAAAGACAUCACUCACAGAAGAAGCACCGGCUAACUCCGUGCCAGCAGCCGCGGUAAUACGGAGGGUGCGAGCGUUAAUCGGAAUUACUGGGCGUAAAGCGCGCGUAGGUGGCUUGAUAAGCCGGUUGUGAAAGCCCCGGGCUCAACCUGGGAACGGCAUCCGGAACUGUCAAGCUAGAGUGCAGGAGAGGAAGGUAGAAUUCCCGGGGUAGCGGUGAAAUGCGUAGAGAUCGGGAGGAAUACCAGUGGCGAAGGCGGGCUUCUGGACUGACACUGAUACUGAGGUGCGAAAGCGUGGGUAGCAAACAGGAUCAGAUACCCUGGUAGUA
rnacentral:rRNA from 1 species